ACGGCUCAGUAACACGUGGAUAACCCGCCCUUGGGACCGGCAUAACCCCGGGAAACUGGGGAUAAUUCCGGAUACCGCAUAUAUGCUGGAAUGCUUUAUGCGUGAAAUGGAUUCGUCUGCCCAAGGAUGGGUCUGCGGCCUAUCAGGUAGUAGUGGGUGUAAUGUACCUACUGGCCUACAACGGGUACGGGUUGUGAGAGCAAGAGCCCGGAGAUGGAUUCUGAGACAUGAAUCCAGGCUCUACGGGGCGCAGCAGGCGCGAAAACUUUACAAUGCGGGAAACCGUGAUAAGGGGACACCGAGUGCCAGCAUCAUAUGCUGGCUGUCCAGGUGUGUAAAAUACACCUGUUAGCAAGGGCCGGGCAAGACCGGUGCCAGCCGCCGCGGUAACACCGGCGGCCCGAGUGGUGAUCGUGAUUAUUGGGUCUAAAGGGUCCGUAGCCGGUUUGGUCAGUCCUCCGGGAAAUCUGACAGCUCAACUGUUAGGCUUUCGGGGGAUACUGCCAGACUUGGAACCGGGAGAGGUAAGAGGUACUACAGGGGUAGGAGUGAAAUCUUGUAAUCCCUGUGGGACCACCUGUGGCGAAGGCGUCUUACCAGAACGGGUUCGACGGUGAGGGACGAAAGCUGGGGGCACGAACCGGAUUAGAUACCCGGGUAGUCCCAGCCGUAAACGAUGCUCGCUAGGUGUCAGGCAUGGCGCGACCGUGUCUGGUGCCGCAGGGAAGCCGUGAAGCGAGCCACCUGGGAAGUACGGCCGCAAGGCUGAAACUUAAAGGAAUUGGCGGGGGAGCAC
rnacentral:rRNA from 1 species